CAGAGUUGAAAAACUCCCCAACCCUUUGUUUACAUACCUGUCCCGUUGCUUCGGCAGGCGGCCCCAGGGCGGGGCCUCCAGCCUGCGUUAGCAGGUGUCUGCCGCUGGCGAAAAACUCUUUAUGUUAUAUGUACUGCUCUGAGUCACACAAAAAAAUGAAUCA
rnacentral:misc_RNA from 1 species